rnacentral:rRNA from 1 species
GCUAAAUGGACUCAUGGCGGACGGGUGAGUAACGCGUAAAGAACUUGCCCUUUAGACUGGGAUAACAGAGGGAAACUUCUGACAAUACUGGAUAAGUUAGUAUAUCGCAUGAUAUGCAAAUGAAAGCUACGGCACUAAAGGAGAGCUUUGCGUCCUAUUAGCUAGUUGGUAAGGUAAGAGCUUACCAAGGCGAUGAUAGGUAGCCGGCCUGAGAGGGUGGACGGCCACAAGGGGACUGAGAUACGGCCCUUACUCCUACGGGAGGCAGCAGUGGGGAAUAUUGGACAAUGGAGGGAACUCUGAUCCAGCAAUUCUGUGUGUGUGAAGAAGGUUUUAGGACUGUAAAACACUUUUGGUAGGGAAGAAAAAAAUGACGGUACCUACAGAAGAAGCAACGGCUAAAUACGUGCCAGCAGCCGCGGUAAUACGUAUGUUGCGAGCGUUAUCCGGAAUUAUUGGGCUUAAAGGGCAUCUAGGCGGUAAGACAAGUUGAAGGUGAAAACCUGUGGCUCAACCAUAGGCUUGCCUACAAAACUGUUGAACUAGAGUACUGGAAAGGUGGGUGGAACUACACGAGUAGAGGUGAAAUUCGUAGAUAUGUGUAGGAAUGCCGAUGAUGAAGAUAACUCACUGGACA